UCCCUGGUGGCUCAGUGGGUAAAGAAUCUGCCUGCAAUGCAGGAGACUCAGGUUCGAUCCCUGGAUUGGGAA
rnacentral:tRNA from 1 species